rnacentral:lncRNA from 1 species
UAUGUUUGGUUGAAAAAAGGCAACCAUAUUGGAUAAAGAACCAUUAGUGAUAAAAGGCGAAUAGAGUGCGGUGGUGACGCUAUCCAUCCGCCAUCUUUGAAGAUCGGACGAACAACCUUCCACGCGGACGGAAUCGACGAGUAAAUUCCAUUCCAUCCCGUGACAAGACCUCUUAAAAGCAGUUACGACGUCCAAGACGAAUCCAUCGGAUGCAACCCAAGCAGGGACCGGUAAGCAAACCAUUGAUCACGAUAAGUACUCAUGCUGAAGAAACUACCUGGUAUUUCACAGCAACCACUACCGGAUUUCCCUCGCCAAAGUUCAUGCCAUUCGCGGAAAGCAUACACGUCGCGAGAGCUAAACGAACGACGGGUAAGACAAAAUUAAGUUGUCCUCGGCACAAUCCCUAAACGUAAAUCAUUUGCUCCACAGUCGUUUGAUUCAGCCAGCCUAGAAGUCGAUCACUUCGCAGAGAACCUCCACGUCCAAUCCUUCGGUUCAAAAACAAAGCCUUCCCUCGGAAGGCUUUGUUUCUCUAUUUACAGCUAAUCCACACACGGAUAGUGGCAUCGGACUUGUUCGAACCAGGUGCGACCGCGAGGUGGCUGCGAACUAUCGGUCGGGAGUUGAGUCAAGCCCGGAGAGGGCCGAACCACUGGUCCACCGAAAGACGCCUUCGACAGCCGCAGUAUACGACACUGAGUUGCAACCGCAAGUCUUGGUCAGACGUCGUGAAGGCAUAGUACACCAGCGAGCGAGCCACGGCUGCACUGCAGGGUAGUGUGGAAUCAUGUGCGGAAGGGUGACAUCCAUGAUGAUGGCGGCGGCCAGAACAGCGAUUACGGUAGGGGCGCCCCAAUAGUGAGUACAAGAUGGAAAAUUAGCACAUAAGUAGAAAUUCAAAAGAGAAAAGGAAGGCAGGCAAGCUAGAGUAGGAUGAGGCUUAGAAGGAGAUAAGAAAAUGUCCUUUGAAUAAAAUAUGUACACUUUA